CGCCUGCCAUUGACAAACAAAUUGGAGCUUUACUUUUAAUUGUCAAAGGUCAUUGUUUUUUUCAUUUAUUAGUCCAACGGUAGCUUAGUUUGUUCUUCCGAAAAUCUCGUACAAAUUCAGUUCUACUUCAAGUAUUAUUACUCCCUGUUUUGAUGCUUUCUUAUCACUUAUCUCAGGUAUGUUAUGAUCCCUUACAAUGAUUGCUUAUGUUAUAUUUGCUUCAUUAACUCAAAACAUGGUUUUAGUAUGACACUGCCUUCAAGUGAAUAUGUGAAAUCUCAUAGGCAUGGCUAUCAAAUGUUUGAUGAAAUGUCUGUCUGAAACUUGGGAUAAUUGGUUCUUAGGUUGAUUGCAAAUGCAACAAUAAAUCUAGAUGGUGUUUUUUGGAUCUCUUGAGAAGGUUCUUUAAACAAAAGAAUUGCUUCAUUUGUGUUUCUAUUGAUAUCUAAAACUAAUAAAUUAGCUUUAUUUUGAAUCAAAUGUUGGCCAUUUGAUGGAUUUUAGAGUAAUCUAAGUGGUUCAACAUUGUCACUCAACUUGCUGUCCAGAUUCUUCCUCUUCUCUGCAUUGAAUUCACUGGUAAGUUUCAAAACUUAUGUUAACUUAAAGGUCUUUUCCAAAUUUUUCCUAUUUUUUGAAAACUGAGUGUAGCGUAACAUGAUUGUUUUUUGCUUCUUUUUUGGUGGCUUGAUAAUAUCAAACUCUUAAGAAAAAGUUCCGAGCUCAUUCAGGACCGCCAGCUCCCCAGGGCACUCCUUUUUUAUAUCUGAGAAGCACCCUCCGAUGUAGCAUUUUGGUGCUGUAGGAUAUGGGGUCACUGAAACAGGGAGGUUGUAGCCAUCCACUAUACUUACGUCGUAGAAACUCGGCUGCCUCUUGUCAACCUGCAACGUAAACUCUAC
rnacentral:lncRNA from 1 species